rnacentral:rRNA from 1 species
UACGUAGGAUCCGAGCGUUGUCCGGAAUUACUGGGUGUAAAGGGCGUGUAGGUGGGUCUCUAAGUCGGUGGUGAAAUCCUGCAGCUUAACUGUAGAAUUGCCCUCGAUACUGGAGAUCUUGAGUGCGGUAGAGGGAGAUGGAAUUCAUGGUGUAGCGGUGAAAUGUGUAGAUAUCAUGAAGAACACCAGUCGCGAAGGCGGUCUCCUGGUCCGCUACUGACACUGAGGCGCGAAAGCGUGGGGAGCAAACAGG